AAUAAUGAAGCGCCAGAACUUAAUCAAAUAAGAAAAAUUAAGUUGACGAGGGCUAGAGUUAUCGAAAACUCGGCGGAUGCUCUAGAGGGAUCACACCCUUACAAGAUGACAAAUCUAUAAGGUGACUUAUAGGACAAAAC
rnacentral:ncRNA from 1 species